AAAUGGAGAUGAAAAUGGAGAUGAAAAUGACGAAUCCAGUGACGACACAGACGAUACCUUAAUUACAAAUUUUAAAUCAAAAUAUAAUAACGAUAUUGACUUUUAUUUAGACUUAUGUACAUAUUUUUAUUUUGCAAAAAAACAGAGAUGAUUUUUGUUAUCUCAUGAAAUUGGAUAAAAAGAAAACUUCGGAAUUACUUAAAUUAUCUAAUCAGUUAAUACAUAUAAUUAAUCUCAAACUUAACAAAAAUAUUACUUUUGAAAAUUUGGAAAAAAAACCAUCCUCUUUAUCAAAACAAAUAAUACAUUAUGCUAUUAUUCAAGGAUUUAUAGACCAUUUAGCAAUUCGUUAUGAUUUUAUACAUAACGAAUAUACUAGAAAUGUAGAAUGUAAAUAUAAUAAUAAAAAAGCAUAUUUUACUCAAAACAUGAACACACCUGUAUAUAUUAAUUCGACUUCCGCUCUAUAUCCAAAUAGGCCAUACCCAAAAUACAUUUUAUACAAUUAUAUUAUGAAGAAUAAAAACUCAUAUGUUAUGUUUGACUGUUUACAUAUAAACGAGUCGGACUUAGAAAAGAUAACAAAUGCUUGUAUAUUUACUAACACAUACGAAAAAAUUCCUCCACCUAAAUACAAUACUAAAAAGGAUAAAAUUGUUGUUUAUAUAAAACCUAUGUAUUUACCUUAUUCUCUGCAGUUAUCUAUAGCAGAAAAAGAGUUAAACGAAAAUGACGUUUUAUUUUAUAAUUAUCUUGCACUGUUCAUAUUAAAUGGAGCAAUGUUUCCAAAAAUGUGUACAUUCCAAAAACUAUAUUCUCACGACGCAAGUGAUGUAAUUAAUUGUACUCAACAAGAAAUUAAAAAUUUUAUAGCCGCUUUAAAACAAAACAGAAUAGUGAACAGGUAUAGCUAUACAUUUGUUGCAUAUACAAGUGCAUAUAUAUAUAUAUAUAUAUAUAUAUAUAUAUACUCACCCGGUUUACCCAUCCGGUUUAUUUGUAUUUACUUAUUUUUUCGGUUAUUUGUGUUUUUUUCUUUUUAGGUCAACUUUAAUAAGUAAAUGGAAACAGAAUAACAAUUUUUUUAAAAAAUGAAUUUAUUCCUUUAGUAGAAAACAAAAUUACGAAGUAUAAUCAAAAUGCUGUUCAUGAUUUAUGGCCACCUACGCAUGUUUCAUAACAAUACAUAAAUAUAAAAAACUUUGAUAUAUAUCUAUACAUGUAUGUACAUGUAAUCCCAGUUACAUGCAACAAGUUCAAAAACGCGUUUAUAUAUAUCACAUAGUAGUGAUUAUUAUAAACCAUUUUUUAAAUUAUAAAAUAAAAAUAGUUUAUUUAUAUUUAUAUUACGAAAA
rnacentral:lncRNA from 1 species